rnacentral:rRNA from 1 species
AUUGAACGCUGGCGGCAUGCCUAACACAUGCAAGUCGAACGGUUUUGGAGCUUGCUCCAAGAUAGUGGCGGACGGGUGAGUAACGCGUAGGAAUCUGCCUUGUAGAGGGGGACAACCCGGGGAAACUCGGGCUAAUACCGCAUAAUAAUCGAGAGAUGAAAGGGUGGGACCUUAGGGCCACUCGCUAUAAGAUGAGCCUACGUUGGAUUAGCUAGUUGGUGGGGUAAAGGCCUACCAAGGCGACGAUCCAUAACUGGUCUGAGAGGAUGACCAGUCACACUGGGACUGAGACACGGCCCAGACUCCUACGGGAGGCAGCAGUGGGGAAUAUUGGACAAUGGGCGAAAGCCUGAUCCAGCAAUGCCGCGUGAGUGAUGAAGGCCUUAGGGUUGUAAAGCUCUUUUACCCGGGACUGAUAAUGACAGUACCGGGAGAAUAAGCCCGGCUAACUCCGUGCCAGCAGCCGCGGU